UCUUCAAUAUGAUAAUUACUUUUAGUGUCGUAUAUAAUCUAAGCAGUUACUGAUUUUCUGAACCUGAAGUCUUUCCAUUGUUUGCACCAACUAGGCAAAAAGGAAAAAAAUUCCACUAAUCCAAGUUACGUGAAUGUCUGAAGGUUUGGAGAAGACCGUCAAUUGGUACUGUCGAUCCAUCACGAGGCUAAUUCCCACUGUUCACCAAGGGGUGCCAUCACGUUUCUGAUGUAAUCUUCACAACCCAAUCCGGGAUCUUGAUUUGUAUGUCACAAGUACCUGUUAUUUUUCAAGGAUCUAAAUUGUACGUGAUAAACUAGCAACUGUGUCUUCAGUGGUAUUUUUAGAUGGUUCCUCCGGCCACCACUUGUCCACCUUGCAAGAAAGGUAGCAGAAGGCUAGGAAAAAAUCAUUGACAUUGUGGAUGUGGACCACAGGAUAAUUUGCAACACUAUGUUAGUAUUCUAAAUCACAUGUUUAUCUAAGGCAAACAUGUGAUGAGAGUUUUGUGAGAUAUUAUACCAGUUUUGUUCUUCUAGAAUAUUAUUGGUAGAAACUGCUGGCCAGCGACCCAAGUAUGACCUUGGGCAUCUUUUCCAACUAAAAUGCGUACAUGUUUUGUUUUGCUGACAGUAUUUCUCAUUGACUUGCAUCCAUGGAGCAAGGAGUAGCAAAAUGUGACAUCGGCAAGGAUGAUUGCAACACAUAUCUAACGGGGAUUCCUAAAGCAUGUUGCAACUAUGCAUUGACUUAUUUGACAGGCAACAUUGAGUAUGUUCCUUAUGUGCUUGAACACAUUAUACUAUUUGGGGAGCCAGCCACAGCAUGCUAUACUCCGUUUGGUCGCAGAUGCAGAAUAAUCAUUCAGUUGUUCAUCCCAGGGAAUCAGGGGUGUGCUCCCUGUGAUGUUGCAAGUUGGUAUCAUUUCAUUCGCCCCUUUUGAAGGAAAAUAAAAAAACAAGAGGCACACCUUGGCCAGACUUCGAGGAUUCAUACGAUGGUGUCGUAAUGAAUGGGUACGGGUUGCCCGGCCGGCGCGAGGGGGAAUGAGGAGACAUGCCAGCAGACAUGAGGGCAAACAAGCAGCGGCGAACGAUGGCGUUGGGUGGCGCCGCCCUGGGUUUCAUCUUCGACAGCGCAAUGAAGGGGCUGCACCCUGGCAGAAAGUACUUCUACAAGGUAGUGACAUGGUGAAUGGUGACUACUGUUGCCACGUAUGAAUAUCUGAAGGAUAUAUACAUGACCGGCUUGCCUGAGCAAACAAGUAGCGGUAUAGGAAUAUUGAUUCGGCAACUCUGAGUUAUUUCCAUUCAAAAUUGGUGUAUAAGCUUUUGUAUGCCAUUAAAUGUGGAAAUUGGCUUCAACUAACAUUGUUAAGUUCUUGCUGA